rnacentral:rRNA from 1 species
CCUACGGGUGGCAGCAGUGAGGAAUAUUGGUCAAUGGACGAGAGUCUGAACCAGCCAAGUAGCGUGAAGGAUGACUGCCCUAUGGGUUGUAAACUUCUUUUAUAUGGGAAUAAAACGUUCCACGUGUGGGAUUUUGUAUGUACCAUAUGAAUAAGGAUCGGCUAACUCCGUGCCAGCAGCCGCGGUAAUACGGAGGAUCCGAGCGUUAUCCGGAGUUAUUGGGUUUAAAGGGAGCGUAGGUGGAUUGUUAAGUCAGUUGUGAAAGUUUGAGGCUCAACCGUAAAAGUGCAGUUGAAACUGGCAGUCUUGAGUACAGUAGAGGUGGGCGGAAUUCGUGGUGUAGCGGUGAAAUGCUUAGAUAUCACGAAGAACUCCGAUUGCGAAGGCAGUUCACUGGACUGCAACUGACACUGAGGCUCGAAAGUGUGGGUAUCAAACAGGAUUAGAUACCCUAGUAGUC